GACGAACGCUGGCGGCGUGCCUAAUACAUGCAAGUUGAGCGCUGAAGGUUGGUACUUGUACCAACUGGAUGAGCAGCGAACGGGUGAGUAACGCGUGGGGAAUCUGCCUUUGAGCGGGGGACAACAUUUGGAAACGAAUGCUAAUACCGCAUAAAAACUUUAAACACAAGUUUUAAGUUUGAAAGAUGCAAUUGCAUCACUCAAAGAUGAUCCCGCGUUGUAUUAGCUAGUUGGUGAGGUAAAGGCUCACCAAGGCGAUGAUACAUAGCCGACCUGAGAGGGUGAUCGGCCACAUUGGAACUGAGACACGGCCCAAACUCCUACGGGAGGCAGCAGUAGGGAAUCUUAGGCAAUGGACGAAAGUCUGACCGAGCAACGCCGCGUGAGUGAAGAAGGUUUUCGGAUCGUAAAACUCUGUUGGUAGAGAAGAACGUUGGUGAGAGUGGAAAGCUCAUCAAGUGACGGUAACUACCCAGAAAGGGACGGCUAACUACGUG
rnacentral:rRNA from 1 species